rnacentral:rRNA from 1 species
AUUGAACGCUGGCGGCAGGCCUAACACAUGCAAGUCGAGCGAGCGGCGGACGGGUGAGUAAUGUAUGGGGACUGUCCGUUAGAGGGGGAUAACUACUGGAAACGGUAGCUAAUACCGCAUACUAUCGGAUCACCUAGAUGGGAUUAGCUAGUAGGUGAGGUAAUGGCUCACCUAGGCGACGAUCCCUAGCUGGUCUGAGAGGAUGAUCAGCCACACGAGGACUGUGGCACUGCCCAGACUCCUACGGAAGCAGCAGUAGGGAGUAUUGCACAGGGGGCACGAGCCUGAUGCACCGAUGCCGCGUGUAUAAAGAAGGCCCUAGGAUGGAAAGGUAGUUUCAGUCGGGGGGCGUUACCGACAGAAGAAUGACAGGCUAGCUCCGUGCCAGCAGCCGCGGUAAUUC